UGGUGCAGUCACUUUCAAUAUCCUUCAAUUUGUUCAUUUAUUUAUUUAUAUAGCCACAUCUAUAUCCCUUGCGGGAAAGACAGAGCAAACAAACAGUGUUGAAAAGACUGAUAGGCCACAUUCAGUUUUUGACUUGAUGAUUAAAUUCAGAAUCAAUUUGUUCUCCUUCAAUAAUAUUUUGGCUGGAUAGCAUAGUUUGGCGCUAUCAUGGGACUCCAUUGUUGUGUCCAAGAGGUGUUCUACAUCGAGACAAUAAGAAGACACGGAUGCUAAUUAGACAAAUUGCCAGUUGAUGUCCUACAAGGAAAAGGUCUUUCAGUAAAAUUCUUUUUGGAUGAAUUUGUACAAAUGCCUGUACUUACUUUUAAAAUAAUGAUUGCCGGUUUUCAGGUUUCUAGAGCAACGACAGGGACCAAGAGGUGGCGGCAAACGAAUUGCGUAUGAAAAUAUCGGUUAACGAUGAUUCAACGGGCGUUUGACAGUUGUGCCCGGCCGAUCGAUCCGGCGUCAACAGGGCGCGACGCCGUUUCUGCAUCCCAGGCCGCACAAAAACCACUUGUUUCCCACGAAUAACACAACUAGCGCCAUUUUAAACCGUCAUCAACCGACCGGCAACGACUAGUAACGUCAUUACAACCGGCACCACCUACGGCCCGAAACUAUGGCGGCCCUUCUCGAGCCUCUAUUCGGAAAACCAGAUAAACAUUUGCACCACGACCUGCAGAUUACUGUCCAACAGUAUUGAAUAUCACUCCUCAUUUCUGUUUGGACGAAGUCGUCGUUCCGCAAUGCGGUAAAAAACGGCCCUCACAAUAAUAUAAUGGAGGCCGUCAUCACUAUAAACACCGAUGCACUGGAUCUCCGAAAUAUGCUCCAACGAGGGUCGCGGAUAACACCCCAAAUUCACUUCCGAUAACAUUUUGAAGAAAUAACACUCACCAUUGU